rnacentral:lncRNA from 1 species
CAGCCCCAAAUUCCUCUCCUCACACCCUACGAACCCCUCCCUCUGGUGGCGAACGUCCAUGGCUGUAGCGGAGUGCGACGACGGCGUUGAGGGUUUGGAUAUUGAAGGAGAUAUGGUUUUUGGUAUCGGUUCCGAAUCCAAGCUUUUCAACCAAAUCUGGUUUUUGUGAUGGGUUUAGACGGGAAUCAAUGUUUGCAGUGGGUUUUCCGACGAGGGUGUUCGUGGUGGGUUUCGUGACGAGAGCUGGUUUGCGUUUACUAUUGGGGUGGUUCGAAGGGUUCAUGGGUCACAGUGGGUUUGCGGGUUUAUAAUGUUUAACUUUGUGUUUAGCAUUUUAAAACAUGUUCCUUUGGAAAAGGCUAAACUUGUUUCAUAACUAGAUCGAUUUCACCUUCUCAGGACUAUCCAUUGGAGAAAUUUGUUGGAUUUCAAAAGUUCCUAGUUCCUACUAUCAAUAUUUU